UACGAGGGGGGCAAGCGUUGUUCGGAAUUAUUGGGCGUAAAGGGCGCGUAGGCGGCGGGGUCAGUCGGGUGUGAAAUCUUGGGGCUUAACCCCGAAACGGCACUCGAAACUGCCCGGCUGGAGGGCCGGAGAGGAGAUCGGAAUUCACGGUGUAGCAGUGAAAUGCGUAGAGAUCGUGAGGAAGACCCGUGGCGAAGGCGGAUCUCUGGACGGCUAACUGACGCUGAGGCGCGAAGGCCAGGGGAGCAAACGGG
rnacentral:rRNA from 1 species